CACAACAUCCAUAGCCCUUAGUUGGAGUGCACCAAAUGGCAAUGCCAUUGGCUACAGGGUUGAAACAAUAGGCAAUCCAGCCAAAAAUCUAACUGUGAACACUUUAUUCACUGGCAUAACUGGACUGGUACCUGGUAACAAUUACACACUGAGGGUUAUUGCUCUGGCUGGAGAUAAUGUUACGGAAGGGGAUGCAGUGACAAUCUCAAGAUUUACAAAGCCUGAUAUCAUUGCCAAUUUGACUACCAGUGCCAUCACCACAACAUCCAUAGCCCUUAGUUGGAGUGCACCAAAUGGCAAUGCCAUUGGCUACAGGGUUGAAACAAUAGGCAAUCCAGCCAAAAAUCUAACUGUGAACACUUUAUUCACUGGCAUAACUGGACUGGUACCUGGUAACAAUUACACACUGAGGGUUAUUGCUCUGGCUGGAGAUAAUGUUACGGAAGGGGAUGCAGUGACAAUCUCAAGAUUUACAAAGCCUGAUAUCAUUGCCAAUUUGACUACCAGUGCCAUCACCACAACAUCCAUAGCCCUUAGUUGGAGUGCACCAAAUGGCAAUGCCAUUGGCUACAGGGUUGAAACAAUAGGCAAUCCAGCCAAAAAUCUAACUGUGAACACUUUAU